GUCUAUGGCCAUACCACCCUGAACACACUCACUGUCAUCUGAUCUCGGAAGCUAAGAGGGGUUGGGCUGGUUUGGAUGGGAGAAAUGUGAUAUGUAUAUAUCAUGGAGUACCAGUCAGCCAUAAAAA
rnacentral:rRNA from 1 species